CCGUACCCGAAACCGACACAGGUGGUCAGGUAGAGUAUACCAAGGCGCUUGAGAGAAGUAUCCUGAAGGAACUCGGCAAAUUGCCUCCGUACCUUCGGAAGAAGGAGGCCC
rnacentral:rRNA from 1 species